UACAGAGGUCUCAAGCGUUGUUCGGAUUCAUUGGGCGUAAAGGGUGCGUAGGUGGCGUGGUAAGUCGGGUGUGAAAUUUCGGAGCUUAACUCCGAAACUGCAUUCGAUACUGCUGUGCUUGAGGACUGGAGAGGAGACUGGAAUUUACGGUGUAGCAGUGAAAUGCGUAGAGAUCGUAAGGAAGACCAGUGGCGAAGGCGGGUCUCUGGACAGUUCCUGACACUGAGGUACGAAGGCCAGGGGAGCAAACGGG
rnacentral:rRNA from 1 species